AUUGAACGCUGGCGGCAGGCCUAACACAUGCAAGUCGAGCGGAUGAAGGGAGCUUGCUCCUGGAUUCAGCGGCGGACGGGCGAGUAAUGCCUAGGAAUCUGCCUGGUAGUGGGGGAUAACGUCCGGAAACGGGCGCUAAUACCGCAUACGUCCUGAGGGAGAACGUGGGGGAUCUUCGGACCUCACGCUAUCAGCUGAGCCUAGGUCGGAUUAGCUAGUUGGUGGGGUAAAGGCCUACCAAGGCGACGAUCCGUAACUGGUCUGAGAGGAUGAUCAGUCACACUGGAACUGAGACACGGUCCAGACUCCUACGGGAGGCAGCAGUGGGGAAUAUUGGACAAUGGGCGAAAGCCUGAUCCAGCCAUGCCGCGUGUGUGAAGAAGGUCUUCGGAUUGUAAAGCACUUUAAGUUGGGAGGAAGGGCAGUAAGUUAAUACCUUCCUGUUUUGACGUUACCAACAGAAUAAGCACCGGCUAACUUCGUG
rnacentral:rRNA from 1 species